UGGGGAAUUUUGCGCAAUGGGGGCAACCCUGACGCAGCAACGCCGCGUGAGUGAUGAAGGUCUUCGGAUCGUAAAGCUCUGUCGGCGGGAACGAUGCUUUCGUUGGCUAACAUCCAACGGAAUCGACGGUACUCGCAAAGGAAGCACCGGCUAACUCUGUGCCAGCAGCCGCGGUAAGACAGAGGGUGCUAGCGUUGUUCGGAAUCAUUGGGCGUAAAGGGCGCGUAGGCGGCUUGGCAAGUUGGAUGUGAAAGCCCCGGGCCUAACCCGGGAAGUGCAUCCAAUACUGCUUUGCUUGAGUGCUGGAGAGGGUGGCGGAAUUCCCAGUGUAGAGGUGAAAUUCGUAGAUAUUGGGAGGAACACCCGUGGCGAAGGCGGCCACCUGGACAGACACUGACGCUGAGGCGCGAAAGCGUGGGGAGCAAACAGG
rnacentral:rRNA from 1 species